rnacentral:rRNA from 1 species
GACGAACGCUGGCGGCGUGCUUAACACAUGCCAGUCGAACGGAAAGGCCCUGCUUUUGUGGGGUGCUCGAGUGGCGAACGGGUGAGUAACACGUGAGUAACCUGCCCUUGACUUUGGGAUAACUUCAGGAAACUGGGGCUAAUACCGGAUAGGAGCUCCUGCUGCAUGGUGGGGGUUGGAAAGUUUCGGCGGUUGGGGAUGGACUCGCGGCUUAUCAGCUUGUUGGUGGGGUAGUGGCUUACCAAGGCUUUGACGGGUAGCCGGCCUGAGAGGGUGACCGGCCACAUUGGGACUGAGAUACGGCCCAGACUCCUACGGGAGUCAGCAGUGGGGAAUAUUGCACAAUGGGCGGAAGCCUGAUGCAGCAACGCCGCGUGCGGGAUGACGGCCUUCGGGUUGUAAACCGCUUUCGCCUGUGACGAAGCGUGAGUGACGGUAAUGGGUAAAGAAGCACCGGCUAACUACGUG